rnacentral:rRNA from 1 species
AGAGUUUGAUCCUGGCUCAGAACGAACGCUGGCGGCGUGCUUAACACAUGCAAGUCGAACGAGAAGUACGUAGCAAUACGUAUUGUAAAGUGGCGCACGGGUGAGUAACACGUGGGUAAUCUGCCCUUGAGUUUGGGAUAACCCCGCGAAAGCGGGACUAAUACCGGAUAAGACCACGGGGACCAAAGUCCCUGAGGUAAAAGAUGGCCUCUAUUUAUAAGCUAUCACUUGAGGAUGAGCCCGCGGCCCAUUAGCUAGUUGGUAGGGUAAUGGCCUACCAAGGCGAUGAUGGGUAGCUGGUCUGAGAGGACGAUCAGCCACACUGGAACUGAGACACGGUCCAGACUCCUACGGGAGGCAGCAGUGGGGAAUAUUGCGCAAUGGGCGAAAGCCUGACGCAGCAACGCCGCGUGGGGGAUGAAGGUUUUCGGAUUGUAAACCCCUUUCGAUCGGAACGAAUCUCCUCCUGGUAAAUAAUCAGGAGGAUCGACGGUACCGAGAGAAGAAGCCACGGCUAACUCUGUGCCAGCAGCCGCGGUAAGACAGAGGUGGCGAGCGUUGUUCGGAUUUAUUGGGCGUAAAGCGAACGCAGGUGGUUUGGUAAGUCAGGGGUGAAAGUCCACAGCUUAACUGUGGCAAUGCCUUUGAUACUGCCUUUCUUGAGUGCAUGAGGGGGAAGCGGAAUUCCGAGUGUAGAGGUGAAAUUCGUA